rnacentral:rRNA from 1 species
UUCCGGUUGAUCCUGCCGGACCUGACUGCUAUCGGAUUGAUACUAAGCCAUGCGAGUCUUUGCAGUAAUGCAAGGCAUACGGCUCAGUAACACGUAGUCAACUUACCCUAUGGACGAGGAUAAUCUCGGGAAACUGAGCAUAAUACUCGAUAGAUCAUAAUGCCUGGAAUGGUUUAUGGUUGAAAUGAUUCGUCGCCAUAGGAUGGGACUGCGGCCUAUCAGCUUGUUGGUGAGGUAAUGGCCCACCAAGGCGAUUACAGGUACGGGCUCUGAGAGGAGAAGCCCGGAGAUGGGUACUGAGACAAGGACCCAGGCCCUAUGGGGCGCAGCAGGCGAGAAAACUUUGCAAUGUGCGAAAGCACGACAAGGUUAAUCCGAGUGAUUUCUGCUAAAGAAAUCUUUUGCAAGUCAUAAAACCACUAGUGAAUAAGGGGUGGGCAAGUUCUGGUGUCAGCCGCCGCGGUAAAACCAGCACCUCAAGUGGUCAGGAGGAUUAUUGGGCCUAAAGCAUCCGUAGCCGGCUCUGUAAGUUUUCGGUUAAAUCCAUGUGCUCAACGCAUGGGCUGCCGAAAAUACUGCAUAGCUAGGGAGUGGGAGAGGUAGACGGUACUCGGUAGGAAGGGGUAAAAUCCUUUGAUCUAUCGAUGACCACCUGUGGCGAAGGCGGUCUACCAGAACACGUUCGACGGUGAGGGAUGAAAGCUGGGGGAGCAAACCGGAUUAGAUACCCGGGUAGUCCCAGCUGUAAACGAUGCAGACUCGAUGAUGCAUUGGCAUAUAGCCAGUGCAGUGUCGCAGGGAAGCCGUUAAGUCUGCCGCCUGGGAAGUACGUACGCAAGUAUGAAACUUAAAGGAAUUGGCGGGGGAGCACCACAGGGGGUGAAGCCUGCGGUUCAAUUGGAAUCAACGCCGGA